rnacentral:rRNA from 1 species
UGGGGAAUCUUGCGCAAUGGGCGAAAGCCUGACGCAGCGACGCCGCGUGGGGGAUGAAGGCCUUCGGGUUGUAAACCCCUUUCGGCAGGGACGAAGCUAACGUGACGGUACCUGCAGAAGAAGUCCCGGCUAACUACGUGCCAGCAGCCGCGGUAAGACGUAGGGGACGAGCGUUGUCCGGAUUUAUUGGGCGUAAAGCGCGCGUAGGCGGCUCGGACAGUCGGAUGUGAAAAUCCGGGGCUCAACCCCGGACCUGCAUCCGAUACUUCCGGGCUAGAGGUAGGUAGGGGAGAUCGGAAUUCCUGGUGUAGCGGUGAAAUGCGCAGAUAUCAGGAGGAACACCGGUGGCGAAGGCGGAUCUCUGGGCCUUACCUGACGCUGAGGCGCGAAAGCUAGGGGAGCGAACAG